CUCUGGGGGCUGCUGUGAUGUAAGUAGCCAAAGCAAUCAUUAAGCUGCUGCUAUGAAAGGUAGUGACUCUGGGAAACGUGCAGGUCAUAGUGGAUGGCUUUGCUGCAAUGGGAUUCCCUCACUGUGGUGGGGCAAUAGAUGGAACCCAUAUCCCUAUCUUGACACCGGAGCACCAGGGCACCCAGUACAUAAACCGCAAGGGGUACUUUUCAAUGGCUCGUCCUCCACUUCCUCCUCCUCAUCUUUCCCGUCCGCAGAAUCCUCAGGCAUGGCUGAGAUUACCACCCCCACCUCGGAGUCCACGGACAGGGAUGGGGUAGUGGUGGCAGACCCCCCUAGAAUUGCAUGCAGCUCAGCAUAGAAGUGGCAUGUUUUCAGCCCUGCCCCGGACCUUCUGUUUGCUUCUUUGGUUUUCUGGUAGGCUUGUCUGAGCUCCUUAACUUUCACACGGCACUGUACUGAGUCCCUGGUGUGGCCUCUCUCCAUCAUGGCUUUGGAAAUUUUUUCAAAUGUUUUUUCAUUUCAUCUUUUGGAAUGGAGUUCUGUUAGCACAGAAUCCUCUCCCCAUACAGUGAUCAGAUCCAGUACCUCCCGUGCGGUCCAUGCUGGAGCUCUUUUUCGAUUCUCAGGAGACUGCAUUGUUACCUGUGCUGAGCUCUGUGUGGUCACCUGUGCUGAUGAGCUCUCCACACUGGGCAAACAGGAAAUGAAAUUCAAAAGUUCACGGGGCUUUUCCUGUCUACCUGGCCAAUGCAUCCUAGUUCAGACUGCUGUCCAGAGCAGACACAAUGGUGCACUGUGGGAUAGCUCUCAGAGGCCAAUACCGUUGAAUUGCGGCCACACUAACCCUAAUUCGAAAUGGCAAUAUAGAUUUCAGCACUACUCCCCUUGUCGGGGAGGAGUACAGAAAUCGGUUUUAAGAGCCCUUUAUAUCAAAAUAAAGGGCUUCAUUGUUUGGACGGGUGCAGGGUUAAUUUGGUUUAACGCUGCUAAAUUCGGUAUAAACGCGUAGUGUAGACCAGGCCCCUGACAGGCUGCAGAACAGCAUCCAUGUUUUGAUCCAGGUAAUCCCAUCUCCCCAGGGACAGGAAAGGGAAAUGGUUGUAGUAGAACCAUCUCAGGUAGGGGAUUUUCAGGGGACUGCUGAGAGGGUUUGUCCUGGAGCCAAAAGCUUGUACCAGAUUUAACAAGUUCCAGCAGGUUUCAGUGGGACUCGAGGUAUUCAGCAGACUCUUGCUGCCAGAGAGCUCUAAAAGCUAAGGGCUGAAACAACAGAUAAAUGAGGAACUUCCUGGCAAGGCAGAUGGGAGUCACCAAGUCCCUGCAUACACCCUUGUAGCAAUUGAUGUCACAUCUGACUGUCCCAUGUGCCAGGCAUUUGAGAAGUUCAUCUGCUUUAACUGCACUGAGGUCACUGUUAAGGGUUUUAUUUAUUAAUCAUGUUUAUUCCAGGAAUGCCUAGGGCCAUUUGAGACUGAGGACCCAUUGUGCUAGGUGCUUUACAGAGUAGUCAACAGACCCUAACUCUAAGCUCUUACAGUCUAACUGGUCAAGACAGGGAUAGGGUAGGGGAAAGGGAUAUGACAGAAUCAUAGAAGUGUAGGGCUGGGAGGAGCCUUAUGAGACCAUCUAGUUCGGCCCCACAUGCUAAGGCAAGACCAAGUAAACCUGGACCAUCCCUGGCAAGCGUUUGUCUAACCUUCCUUUAAAAACCUCCAAUGACAGAAAUACCACAUCCUUCCUGGGUAACCUGUUCCACUGCUUAACUGUUCUUAUAGUCAGAACACCACUCCAGGCUGCAUCAGCCCUCUCAAAGAGCAUGAGAUGCUGUGAUAUGCCUCAGGAGAGCCCUUGUCUCUAUUAUUUUGUCACUAUUUAAGUUACCAAAACUAACAGCACCAAGCAACCUGUCACAUUUAGCUGUGACACCAACACCAGUCAGCUGAAGGGGACGUCCUGGAAGGAGUCUGGAUCCCCACUUGUCUGCUGAAACAUGCUGCAGCUUCUCGUGGACGUCUGGAAACUGGACGCAGCCAGCAGCUGUAGAAAACUGAAACUCAAGAAUCCUAUCCCUGGAUCUGAGAAGACAGUGUGAUGUUCUGGUCAGAGAGGGUAUGCAGAUAAAUUCUGGAAUGCAAGUCUGUGGAGCACAACACAGGUAAUGAAACUUCCUUGUGUCUACUUAUUAUGACACCGAUCCAUUCCCACUAUUACCAGCUCCAGAAGGUAGAGUGGUAUUGUGGGGAUGGCUUAUACCAUGUACAAGUAUUCCCAUUGAUAUCCUUAUCAUGUAUAGGUUGCUAAAUACAAAUGUUUAUAUUUAGUAGAAAUUAGAGGAGAAAUUUGCCUUCAAGAGGUACUUCAGAUACGACAGGACAGUGUCGUUAGUCAAUAUUUGGGAAGUAAGUACUACCACAAGUGGUGACAUGAAAAAACACUAAUGUUUUGUCUACAUGGGAAAGUUUGGUUUAAGAUAAUAUGUGUAGUGUUGGCAAUGCUCAUGGUUUUGUUGUGUGUCUCAUGGUAAUUAUUGUUUUUCUUAAAGCCUCAGCUCCUGGAGGCAAGUGGAAAUGUGAUGAUUUCAGCCUUCCUUCUGAAAGAAAAAUGAAGUUUCUAGCCCUCAUGGCUGUGGAGAAAGCUUCAAAAUGUGACCCCAGUGCACUCUAAUGGCUCAAAAAGCAGAAGGCAAAUAAAAAGAACCCCAAAGUUAUUAUUUUCACAUGAUCUCAUGAUAUUUAAAGCCAAUCUCAUGAUUUUUGGUGACCCUGACUCAUGAUUUUUGAAGAUUUGGGGUUGACAAUCCUGUGUUUGUUUAAACCAGUACAGUUACACUGAUAUAAGUCUCUGUGGAUGCUCAUAUUCUGGAAAAAGGGCCUUUUUUGGUUUAACUUAUGUCUUUUAAGGAAUGGCAUUAAGACAACCAAACAAAAAGCCACUCAUUCCAGAAUAAGAGUAUCCACAUGAGGAAUUUAUCAGUAUAGCUAGGACUGAUUUGAUUUAGUUGGGGAAUGGUCCUGCUUUGAGCAGGGGGUUGGACUAGAUGACCUCCUGGGGUCCCUUCCAACCCUGAUAUUCUAUGAUUCUAUGACUGUAUAACUGGUAAAACUCUCCAGUGUAAACAAUCUCCUCACUGGAGAAAGAAGCAAAACUGAUUGAGAAAGGCAGAUGUUAUUGGUGGAUCAUAGGAAAUGGAAGAAAUUUUGAUGGUAACCCAGGAAAUCAGACAGCACUGAAGUCCUGUGACAGCAAAAGACAAACUUGUGCUAUAGGAAAAAUACAAAGAACCAAUUUGAAAUAAAAGUGGGUAUGUUACAAAACCAUAGUCAGAACAUAGGAACUGUUAUACUAAAAGACACUUUGAGCUGUGAUUGCUUAGCUACAAGCAUCAAUGAAUGAUCAUUUCCCCAUCAUUUUUCCCAUUAAAACAAUACAUUAAAUAACACAA